rnacentral:rRNA from 1 species
GCCAACCUACCUAUCGAGAGGGGAAUAACCCGGCGAAAGUCGGACUAAUACCGCAUAAAACAGGGGCACCGCAUGGUGAUAUUUGUUAAAGAAAUUCGCUGAUAGAUGGGCAUGCGUUCCAUUAGGUAGUUGGUGAGGUAACGGCUCACCAAGCCGACGAUGGAUAGGGGAACUGAGGAGGUUGGUCCCCCCACACUCGGUACUGAGACACGGACUAGACUCCUACGGGAGGCAGCAGUGAGGAAUAUUGGUCAAUGGGCGGGAGCCUGAACCAGCCAAGUCGCCGUGAAGGAAGAAGGAUCUAUGGUUCGUAAACUUCUUUUGCAGGGGAAUAAAGUGCAGGACGUGUCCUGUUUUGUAUGUACCCUGAGAAUAAGGAUCGGCUAACUCCGUGCCAGCCGCCGC